AGAGUUUGAUCAUGGCUCAGAACGAACGCUGGCGGCAUGCCUAACACAUGCAAGUCGAACGAGACCUUCGGGUCUAGUGGCGCACGGGUGCGUAACGCGUGGGAAUCUGCCCUUCGGUUCGGAACAACAGUUAGAAAUGACUGCUAAUACCGGAUAAUGACGUAAGUCCAAAGAUUUAUCGCCGAAGGAUGAGCCCGCGUAAGAUUAGGUAGUUGGUGGGGUAAUGGCCUACCAAGCCGACGAUCUUUAGCUGGUCUGAGAGGAUGAUCAGCCACACUGGGACUGAGACACGGCCCAGACUCCUACGGGAGGCAGCAGUAGGGAAUAUUGGACAAUGGGCGAAAGCCUGAUCCAGCAAUGCCGCGUGAGUGAUGAAGGCCUUAGGGUUGUAAAGCUCUUUUACCAGGGAUGAUAAUGACAGUACCUGGAGAAUAAGCUCCGGCUAACUCCGUG
rnacentral:rRNA from 1 species